CGGACGGGUGAGUAACGCGUGGGUAACCUGCCUCACACUGGGGGACAACAGUUAGAAAUGACUGCUAAUACCGCAUAAGCGCACAGGACCGCAUGGUCUAGUGUGAAAAACUCCGGUGGUGUGAGAUGGACCCGCGUUUGAUUAGCUAGUUGGUGGGGUAACGGCCUACCAAGGCGACGAUCAAUAGCCGACCUGAGAGGGUGACCGGCCACAUUGGGACUGAGACACGGCCCAG
rnacentral:rRNA from 1 species